AUCAUUUCACUCCCCAGUCUCUUUUAUCCCUCGAUAUUUGUCAAAACUGAAGCACGUUGUUUUUUCUAUUUGAAGUUUAAUCCACCACUAGAGUAAGUUUACCUUUUAUAUUUGUGCUCAUUUUUUAUAUCGUUGUGCAUAUUGUUGAACUAUACAUUUUAUGCAAACUCAUUUUUGAUUAUUGGUGCUCAUUUACGCACGACAUGAAAAAAUAUUGCCGCUGUAAAUUUACAGUACUGUUUGUAUUUUUUAUGUAUGCAUUUGCCCCUUAAAUUCAUUCUUAUUUGUCAAUCCCACAUAUUAGGAUUUAUUUUUGUGUUUUAUCGAUGUAGACAAGGGUCACGCUCGAAUUUUCUAGAACUACAGUACCGCACAGUUUUAAC
rnacentral:lncRNA from 1 species